AGAGAUGCCGAGGGGAAGACAGCGCAGGGGAGAGGUAUGGCUGAUGGAUUUCAGAAGUGGGAAAGUCAGUUUUCUCUUCUCGGUUUUGACUGAAUUCGAGGGUUGUUCUGUACAGUUUCAUUUGCUGUCCUUCAAUGAGGGUUUUGGGGGUAUGGAGACUCUGACAGAGAGCGGAAGAAAGAGAGAGAGAGAGAGAGAGAGAGAGAGAGAGAGAGAGAGGUCGAGAGACAUCUUAAGUUAGGGUUUUGUUCCUUCGUUGCUUUUCUUGAUUUCGGCUUUUGCUCUUUUCGUUUUGGCUGUUCUUUCUUCCAAUCCUCUGUUUCCUGUGAUAACCGUGCUUUCUUUCGCGGAAAGGGUUGCUGAUUUUCGUGGUUUAAGGGAUUUUCUCUCUUUCACUUUCUCCGUUUUGCUGAAAAACCACCCAACCAAUAAACGCUUUCGGUUUGACUCGAAGAAAAAUUUUACCCAUAAAGGAUAGCAUUUCUUGAUGAGUUUUGCAUCCCUGUAAACCUAGAUUUGUCGGCGCUAUGUGGAAGGUCAUAAAAUUGGUUUCCAAGGUUUUUUUUCUUCCUGAUCUUGCGAUUGCUCAUGCAAGGGUUUCAAAGUAUUUCCCAAUCUCUCCUUACAUAGUAAAUUGCAAUGGGUUGUCCACGGUUUGCCUGGUAAAACCAAAUUUUGUGAGUCUAUGAUUUUUCAGGAGUUGCAGCGUUGUUAGUAAGGUUUGAGCAUUUUCAUCACAUUAGCUAUUCCGUUCAUCAGUCCAAUAUGUUCUUAUCCCUUGCACUCCGUUGUUUAUGUUUGGAAUUUGUGAUUAGAAAUUGGAGAUUUAACUUCUUGAUAAUUGCAUGUGUUCAUGCCCCCUCAUGAUAUCAUGAGAUCUAAUGAGAUUGUUUGCGAUCUGGUUAAAUACAUAGUAAUAAGGACAAUAGUUCAUAUUUUUAAGGAAGGUUAAUGGUUCUGGGUUUUUACAUUUAUUAUUAACUAUAAUUGUUAUGGUUGAUUAUCGUUCUUUUAGUCUCACUGAGUUUCUUUGUUCAAUGGUUUGGUCCAUCUUAUUAAGUUUCUCACCAGAGAUCUCUUCUAGCACUGCUCUUCUCUUGGACCAGGUACAACUUCUUUGACUUUCUGUUUGUUUCCGAGAAAAUUUAGAGCUCGAAAGUGUGUAGAACUGUAGAAGUAAAAAAAGUCUCAAUCUUUCUAUUGUCCUGUACAAAAAGAAAUUGAAUUUUGAAUUUGUGUUUUUGGCAUACCCUUUACUAGAAUUUUGUGAUUUGGGAAUUGUAGAAGUUGGUGGCGAUUCAAAACCCAUUAACUUGGAUGAGAAUUAAGAGUAAUUUGGAACCAGACAGCAAGGAAUUGCAAGUGGGUAAUGAUAAUGAUAAUGCAGAUGUUGUUUUGGUUUUUAAUUCCUUAUCAUCGCUACUACAAAAAAGGUUAGUUUUGUUUUCUACAUUUAAAGAGUGUUUAAAGAAAAGUUGCAUGUAAUUGAUUUUCUGCUAUAAUGUUUUGAAAUUCCUUAUUUAUAUUGUUCUAGAUAUUCUUGGUUUGCAUUUAUUUUACGUGAUGGUAUUAGAAAAAAAUAAAGCCGCAAUGAUGAAAAAAUUUGUCUAAGUCAAAACAAGCGAUAAAGAAUCCUUACACCAUUGAGCCAUUACUGAAAUAAAUUUGAUACUAAUUUUAUGUGUGCACAGUUGAAUGUGAAACAGUGUAAUUAAAUGUGAAACAGUAUGUUUUCAGUACCUUGGUAUAUGGUACAAGAUUGGGGGUAAUGACACCAAUAAAAACUGGGGUUGUAAUAAGUAACUUUUUCUCCGUUCUUUAUUGUAGUACUAUAGAUUCAAAUUUGUCAUUGUGCAUUUUUUAUUUUUCUGCACAGUUGGAUGAUUAGGUUUUGUGCAAAGUGAAUCAUUCGAAUGCUCAGAAUGUAUUAUAUUUGUAAAUUCCAGCUAAUGCUGCUCUAACAUGAUACAAGAGACCAACACUUUCAUCCAUAUGGAGUGCUGAUAUACUGAUAUCUGGGAUUUUUUAUCUUUGAAAUAGCUAAAUGCUAUUUUUAAUGUUUCAGUUCUGGCAUGUUUGGUUCUUUGAAUUCUGUAGUUUGCUUGCUUCUUCGUUGCUUCGUGAUUUUCAUUUUUCAGUGUAAUUAAAUUCUUGAAUUUUUCAUAUUGAACUAAUGAAGUUCAUUCUGAAUUUCCAAUUCAACAUUAUAACAUUAUAAAAUUGUUUUGCAAAGAAAUUGUGUGUUCUUCAUGUGCAUUCUUCAUUGUUUGUACUUUGAAUUCAAGAUAAUACAGUAUAUUUUCAACAGUAACCAAUGAUAUAUUCUCAGAUAAUCGUGGCAGGAUGCCCAUGAUGUGUUAUUUAGGGGACUUUGAGUGGAAUAAUUUUGUGAUGGUUAUUAUUUGAAACAUUGAUGUUUUUCAGUUAUAUGACUACCUUUACAUCUCUUUCAUUUAAAUACUUGCUUGGGAGCUUAAUCUUUCUUUUGGUAUUUGUUAUGUUUUCUUUUGUUGGCUGUAUUUUGUAUCUCAUUAACAACAGUAAGCAAGUGAAAGCUAUAAGUUAUCUAUUACCGGUAUCCAUUUUAAAAAAUCAUAUGUGGUAGAUGUUAUUAUUUGAGAUUUCUUAUUAUUGUAGUGGUGUUGUGUUAACAUUUCUUUUGCAAUUUGAUACUUUUCUAUUUACACAUUUCUUUACAUGCAAUUUUAUCUGCAUAUUUGUGAUUUCGUAAAUUGAUAAAAUUGAUAUUUUGAUUCUACAACUUUGUAAUUGAAUGAAAA